CCGCUGGAUUGGCUAAUCACCCUGGCAUAACUCUUGCAUGUCUGAUGAGAUCUUCUAUUUACAACCUUCUCAUUUUUUUUAUCCGCCAUCGUUUGAUGCGAAAAACCUUUUCUGCGGUGAUCGCGCGAUUUCGGCAUGCGUUUGUGGCUGCUUGUUAUUUUUAAUCUAGCCUCUUCUUUGACGAUCUAUGAUUACCAAGAAGCCAUAGUAGCUCAGUCGGACACUAACAGUGGCAUUCUACAUGUGGAUGGAUCUGGAAGAAGCUUCAAGAGAUGGAACCAAGGUCAAAAAUUGGCAUUCCGUGAAGCGUUUAUGUGUCCAUGGAAUCUGCAUACACGAAUUAGGGAAAGUGAUUUUGUCUAAUAGGAAAUUCCAGAUCCACUUUAUGGGGCAAGUUUGAGUUUGUGGAUUCACCUUCGACCCACACAUGGUUACUUGUCUUACCUUAAUGAAGGAUGGGGAACUUAGUUCCCUGAAAGAAAUUAAUUCUUUCGUAGCUCAAUUGUAUCCGAUGUGAUGCUAUUAGCUUGAGGUGAUAAUGUAUGCAUACCAUUUCUAUUGGAUAUAUGACAACUCUUGUUUGAA